GAGUGACAAGUUAUCUGGCUGAGACAUCUGUCAACGCCACCUCACGCACCAGGGUCCAUUCAGCUGAUCUGGCUGGUUAAGUGGGGGUCCCCUCCCUCUCUCAUUGCUUCAUCUGUGUCCCUCCCAAAGCUUCUCCCUCUGUCAGAAAGGACGACCUUCCUGGACCUCUGGCCCAGGGUUUAUGUUGGAACCUCAGAAAUGAGCUCUCCAGUGACAAGAAUGUGGCUCAGAUUUCCAAGCAAAGGUUUGAGCACUGUUCUGAAUGGACAGAACGAAGUGUACUGG
rnacentral:sRNA from 1 species